GACCUUUUACACAAAUUUUGAUGAAGUGCGCCGUUAUAGAAAUAAAACCACUAAAAAUUCGCAAUUCGCAAUUCGCAAUUUUCAGUGUAAGAACGGGCCUUGACCGAUCUUAUGCACCAGGUUCCCAACGAACACGCACUGCCCUUACACCUACAUCUUACCCUUGCUCUGAGUCAGUACGAGCAGCACGCUAGAACACGCUUUGAGUGUUCGUGCCAGGCAUGCACACCUUCUUUUCCGGUUACGCAUUUUAACUCGGCCGGGGGUGGUACAUUACGUAGGGUUUGAUGUAAGUAUAAGCGCCUAACCAUUUAUAGUGUGCCUAUCAACUUUCAUUAAAGCAAAAACUGUUAUAUUUUAGUUUGAAUUCAAAAACUAAUUGUUAUUAUACUGUGUAUUGUUUUCUCCUGAAAUCUUUCCUAGUGUUGAGUCGUGUUUAUCUGUUGCUAUUUCUUUUGUCGCGGUGUUUUGUUACAUUUUUGGUCCUAAGCAUUUUAGAAAAGUUUUUCAAAAGUACAAUAGUAAUAUUUGUGUUAAUCCUUUAAUCAUUCCAUAAAUUGAGUAAGGGCUCGAACCUCACUUGCUUAAGAAAAAGGUGAAGUUUCAAAACAAUAGACAGUGAAGGAAAUAUACUAUGUAAAGAAUCAAUAAUAAAAGAAAGAUAGUAAUUUAUGAAGUAGAUAAAGAAAUUAACAAUAGUUAAUAAAUAGAGGUAACAAACAAGCUUAGAUUGUAUUGAGGGCAAUUUACAGGGAAGAUGAGAAAUUAUUCAAAUAGAUAAAUAAAGAAAAGGCACAUGAUAAACAAAAUUGACGUCGCUGCCAAAUUAAGGGAAAGCGUUGAGAAAUAAGAGAAUCAAAUAAGUAAAAUCGAAAUCAAAUGGAGGAUAGUAAACAGAAGCCGUUUUAGAAAAUCAGUGAAACAAAAUAGCUGUUAGCUGAAAUGGAAAGAGGAGAAACCCCGUUCUGCGAUGCUCAGCCGUCUCGACUCUGACCCUCGCUGGUCAAAGGUUUACGAUCCGUUUCCACAGGCCACCAGCUAGGUCAUCAUGAAAACCAAGCCAACGUGGAGGUAAGAAAAUAGGACACUUGCAAGGAACCAGAGCUAUACUGUCCUGAUCAAGAAUGAUCUAACAGGACUACGGACGUAGUCAGUGACGCUCCUUCCAGGAUGUUCCUCGCCUAAGCGUCAACUGAAGAGGUAUUAACAGUAUCAUUCGCCCUUGGCCUGCAGAAAUAAAACCACUAAAAAUUUUAACAAAACAAACAGUUUUUGGAUUAAAAAAAAGCAAUAUUUUUUUAGAAGUUCAGAAAAAUUAAAAAAAAAAUGUCUACGAAACUUUGAGGAUUGAACCUCUGUUAGCUGAGAUACAGCGGAGACUUAUAUUCAAUAUUUUAUUCAAAUUUUUUGAAGAAAAAAAUCUUAUAUUCAUUAUUAUUAUUGAAAUUUUUAUCUUUGAAAAAAAAAUAUAAUCAUCUUUUCUUAUCAUUGAACCAUUUUUAAAAUAGAAUUUUUCGAGACUUCACAUUUUUUUCUUUUUAUCAUUUUUAUUACUUAAAGAUGAAAUUUCAGCAAAAAAAACUUUUUUCAACAAAAUAAAGAAAGCUUCCUUUUAUAUAAAUUUUUAAAGGACGUUUUAAAUAGCAUUUUGCAGCAACCAAAUUUUAAGAUGAAUACUUGUCAUUAAAUUUAUUUUGAUGAAAACUUUAAAAUAAACUAAAUCAAUCAAACGUGUACAAUUAUUUAUUUUGACGCUAAAAAAUGUAAAACUUUUUUUAGUAAUCAAGUUUAGAAAUGUCACAAUUUUUUGACAUUGAAAGUACGAUCAAUAUCUUGAGAGUUUUGGACUAAUUAUAGGGGCAACUUCAAAAGAAAGUAUUUUCUAAUUUAUAUUCUUUCGGAAGCCGUAUCUCAGCAAUUUGAUAUUCUAUUAACAAUGUCUCGAUGAGGUGAUUUUACAAACAAAAACGAUACUUAAUCCACCCUUAGGUGGUUGGCGCCUUCCUUACAUUUAAAGGGUGCUAUCCAAAAUGCAAAAAGUGCGUAAAUAACACUUAAGUACUUAUAACUUCUGAUAGGGUUGUCAGGUCUUCAAUGUUUUGGACGCGUUGGAAAGGUCUUUUAAAUACCUAUCCAAAGAUAGGUCGCAUGAGAGAUCCGGACAACGUUUUCAUCAACAUAUCUUAGAUCCGGCCUCCAGAAAGCGUAUAAAAAGCACUUAAGUGCGUAUAACUUUUGAUAAAUUUGUCAGAUCUUCAAUGUCUUGGACUCGUUGGAAAGGUCUUUUAAAUACCUUUCUGAAAAUGUAUAGCAUGACGGGUUUUCUUACAAAAACCACCCUGUUUACAAUCUUACGAAGUUUAGCUGAAAUCGUUUUUUAGAAUAACUUUUGAAGUACUAUUCUAAACUUCACAAAAUUAACUAGGGUCUUGUGGGAGCCCAAUACGGAUCAAAUGAGACCAAAACGGUCCAAAUCGGUUCGGCCAGUCCGGAGGUAAUCGUGUGCAAAUUUUUCGGUGCACGGACUCACAUCCAGACACACGCACAGACAUUUGUUCAGAAUUUGAUUCUGAGUCGAUAGGUAUACGUGAAGGUGGGUCUACGAGGUCGAAUUAAAAAGUUCAUUUUUCGAAGGAUACCUUUUUUAAAAAAAGUUCUCAUAAGUUCAAAACUAUUGAAUCAGUCAACGACAUUUCAUCCGAUUUCAGAUCACCAGAAUGAAAAAAAAAAAUCUUGGGCAUGAACAUGUCACAUUAAACAAACAGUUUUGGCAACUCCAGGAACAAAGGCAAUGUUUGAUUUUUUUAAUGAUUUACUCGAAAAUGCUAUUUUUUUUCUUUCUACGUGCGUGUGAACAAAAAUCCACAGCUUUAUAUGAACAAUGUCUCGAAAUCUAGUUUGUGUGCUACUCUCUGUAAGAGAUUUAUUUUUUACAGAAUUAAACUAAUUGUUAGGCUUGUUUGUAGAGCAUUGUUACACUCUAAAAAAAACCUGCAAAUUAAAAAAACAUAGAAAUUCAAUAUGAAUUUUUUUGUUCUAAAUGAAAAAAACCCCUUCUGGGUUACAUUCAAUUUUCCAUAAAAUGACAUAUUCCAAAAUUCUAAAGUUGAUUUUUAAAACUUUUUUAUUCGAUGAAAAAUAAGUUUUUUUCGGAAUUCUGAGUACGCCAUCAAAUAGGGUGUCCAAUUUUACAUAAAAGUCCUUCUGAUACCAAAUUUCCAUCUUACUACCAUUUCAGGCUGCAAAUUAUUGAAAAAGAUGUCUUUUUGAGAAUGUUUAAAAAUUGAAGGGGUCGUACCGCCCCUCCGUCACGACGAAUAUAUGAAAAUUCUUCAAAUUUUAAGCUGACACAAAAACAAAAAGCGUUUUCAAUUCGUUACUCACGAAGCUAAUAUUCCUGCAUAAUCUCAAACUACCUCCUUCAAUCUUGAACCUUCCAGGAAAAUCGGAAAACAUUACUAACAAAAACAUAAAUUAAAAAUUUACACCAACGCACAAUUAUUGUUCCUCCGGUAUCCCCCUUUUCGCCCACGGCUAUCCCAAUGCUCAAUCUCAAUAAAACUCGAUGUAAUCCAACCCCACGAUGACCCGACGGAUAAUCCAACGAUUUUGGGGCAAAGCAAUCGGAAAACCCUUAAGCCAUAAAAAGUGUUAGGGUGUACGACCCCUUUUUUCCUUCAACAUCAAGAAAGAUGCCCUCCCCCUCCCCGUCCCGUGUCGAGCCCUUUAUCACACGAUUAGGCGAUUAUUCUGGCGCGCUCGCCGCUCAGCCCCUAAUUGUCUGAUAUAUGACAUUUGGGGAGGGGGAAGCGUUUGCUUUCUUGACUCUUGCUUUUGCACCACACCCGAAAAAAAACGCGUUGCAUUAUUAAUGUGGGUGGGUGAGUGCAAGUGGGGCCGGUUUGUACGUGUUCGUGGGUGGGUGUGAGAAGAUCAAGUAGCUCAGCCGAGAGUAACAAGUUAAAGAGAAGAAAACUACAACUAAACGAAAGAAUGACGAGCUCGAAUGGAGAGAGAGAGAGGGUAGAAGAAAAAAACAAAACGCUUUAAUGACGAAACCAAACUAGUCGAUUAGUGGAAAUAGGUUAAUAAAGGAAUUAUCACAUGUGGUGAUUGAAGGGUGGCGAUUUGAUCGAAUAAGUUCCAUUUUAUUUUACCUCUAUGAUGACGAAAGAAGAAAGAAAACAUUCACCGGAUGUGUAUAUAAAACUAGCAGUGUAUUGAAUUUGCAUUAUUUAGACAAUAAAAUGAUGUACUGCCUGCGAGAAUGUGGCGUUAAUUUAUUA